rnacentral:rRNA from 1 species
UUGAGUUUGAUCCUGGCUCAGAUUGAACGCUGGCGGCAUGCCUUACACAUGCAAGUCGAACGGCAGCACGGGUGCUUGCACCUGGUGGCGAGUGGCGAACGGGUGAGUAAUACAUCGGAACAUGUCCUGUAGUGGGGGAUAGCCCGGCGAAAGCCGGAUUAAUACCGCAUACGAUCUACGGAUGAAAGCGGGGGACCUUCGGGCCUCGCGCUAUAGGGUUGGCCGAUGGCUGAUUAGCUAGUUGGUGGGGUAAAGGCCUACCAAGGCGACGAUCAGUAGCUGGUCUGAGAGGACGACCAGCCACACUGGGACUGAGACACGGCCCAGACUCCUACGGGAGGCAGCAGUGGGGAAUUUUGGACAAUGGGCGAAAGCCUGAUCCAGCAAUGCCGCGUGUGUGAAGAAGGCCUUCGGGUUGUAAAGCACUUUUGUCCGGAAAGAAAUCCUUGGCUCUAAUACAGUCGGGGGAUGACGGUACCGGAAGAAUAAGCACCGGCUAACUACGUGCCAGCAGCCGCGGUAAUACGUAGGGUGCGAGCGUUAAUCGGAAUUACUGGGCGUAAAGCGUGCGCAGGCGGUUUGCUAAGACCGAUGUGAAAUCCCCGGGCUCAACCUGGGAACUGCAUUGGUGACUGGCAGGCUAGAGUAUGGCAGAGGGGGGUAGAAUUCCACGUGUAGCAGUGAAAUGCGUAGAGAUGUGGAGGAAUACCGAUGGCGAAGGCAGCCCCCCUGGGCCAUACUGACGCUCAUGCACGAAAGCGUGGGGGAGCAAACAGGAAUAGAUACCCUGGUAGUCCACGCCCUAAACGAUGUCAACUAGUUGUUGGGGAUUCAUUUCCUUAGUAACGUAGCUAACGCGUGAAGUUGACCGCCUGGGGAGUACGGUCGCAAGAUAAAAACUCAAAGGAAUUGACGGGGACCCGCACAAGCGGUGGAUGAUGUGGAUUAAUUCGAUGCAACGCGAAAAACCUUACCUACCCUGNACAUGGUCGGAAUCCCGCUGAGAGGUGGGAGUGCUCGAAAGAGAACCGGCGCACAGGUGCUGCAUGGCUGUCGUCAGCUCGUGUCGUGAGAUGUUGGGUUAAGUCCCGCAACGAGCGCAACCCUUGUCCUUAGUUGCUACGCAAGAGCACUCUAAGGAGACUGCCGGUGACAAACCGGAGGAAGGUGGGGAUGACGUCAAGUCCUCAUGGCCCUUAUGGGUAGGGCUUCACACGUCAUACAAUGGUCGGAACAGAGGGUUGCCAACCCGCGAGGGGGAGCUAAUCCCAGAAAACCGAUCGUAGUCCGGAUUGCACUCUGCAACUCGAGUGCAUGAAGCUGGAAUCGCUAGUAAUCGCGGAUCAGCAUGCCGCGGUGAAUACGUUCCCGGGUCUUGUACACACCGCCCGUCACACCAUGGGAGUGGGUUUUACCAGAAGUGGCUAGUCUAACCGCAAGGAGGACGGUCACCACGGUAGGAUUCAUGACUGGGGUGAAGUCGUAACAAGGUA